rnacentral:rRNA from 1 species
UCCCGCCUGCCCAGUGACUACAUGUUCAACGGCCGCGGUAUUAUGACCGUGCAAAGGUAGCGUAAUCACUUGUCUUUUAAAUAAAGUCUAGUAUGAAAGGCACCACGAAAGUUCAACUGUCUCCCACAUCUAAUCAGUGAAACUGAUCCCCCCGUGCAGAAACGGGGAUACCCCCAUAAGACGAGAAGACCCCAUGGAGCUUCAA